rnacentral:rRNA from 1 species
CAAUAGCGUAUAUUAACGUUGUUGCAGUUAAAAAGCUCGUAGUUGGAUUUCUGGAGGGAGCGUCGGCCCGUAUUUACGAGUGCGGGACGUCUCUGUCCAUCCUUGCGGGAAGGCACGGCAUUGAUUUGUUGUGUCGGAUCGCAUCAUUUACUGUGAAAAAAUUAGAGUGUUCAAAGCAGGCUUUCGCUUGAAUACAUUAGCAUGGAAUAAUAAGAUAGGACUUUGGUGCUAUUUUGUUGGUUGAGCCUAAAGUAAUGAUUAAUAGGGAUAGUUGGGGGCACCUGUAUUGCGUUGUCAGAGGUGAAAUUCUUGGAUUUACGCAAGACAAACAGCUGCGAAAGCGUCUGCCAAGGAUGUUUUCAUUAA